rnacentral:rRNA from 1 species
CGAGCGGUAGAGAUCUUUCGGGAUUUUGAGAGCGGCGUACGGGUGCGGAACACGUGUGCAACCUGCCUUUAUCUGGGGGAUAGCCUUUCGAAAGGAAGAUUAAUACCCCAUAAUAUACUGAAUGGCAUCAUUCGGUAUUGAAAACUCCGGUGGAUAGAGAUGGGCACGCGCAAGAUUAGAUAGUUGGUGAGGUAACGGCUCACCAAGUCUACGAUCUUUAGGGGGCCUGAGAGGGUGAUCCCCCACACUGGUACUGAGACACGGACCAGACUCCUACGGGAGGCAGCAGUGAGGAAUAUUGGACAAUGGGUGAGAGCCUGAUCCAGCCAUCCCGCGUGAAGGACGACGGCCCUAUGGGUUGUAAACUUCUUUUGUAUAGGGAUAAACCUACCCUCGUGAGGGUAGCUGAAGGUACUAUACGAAUAAGCACCGGCUAACUCCGUGCCAGGGGGCGCGGUAAUACGGAGGGUGCAAGCGUUAUCCGGAUUUAUUGGGUUUAAAGGGUCCGUAGGCGGAUCUGUAAGUCAGUGGUGAAAUCUCACAGCUUAACUGUGAAACUGCCAUUGAUACUGCAGGUCUUGAGUGUUGUUGAAGUAGCUGGAAUAAGUAGUGUAGCGGUGAAAUGCAUAGAUAUUACUUAGAACACCAAUUGCGAAGGCAGGUUACUAAGCAACAACUGACGCUGAUGGACGAAAGCGUGGGGAGCGAACAGGAUUAGAUACCCUGGUAGUCCACGCCGUAAACGAUGCUAACUCGUUUUUGGAAUGUAAGUUUCAGAGACUAAGCGAAAGUGAUAAGUUAGCCACCUGGGGAGUACGAACGCAAGUUUGAAACUCAAAGGAAUUGACGGGGGCCCGCACAAGCGGUGGAUUAUGUGGUUUAAUUCGAUGAUACGCGAGGAACCUUACCAAGGCUUAAAUGGGAAAUGACAGGUUUAGAAAUAGACUUUUCUUCGGACAUUUUUCAAGGUGCUGCAUGGUUGUCGUCAGCUCGUGCCGUGAGGUGUUAGGUUAAGUCCUGCAACGAGCGCAACCCCUGUCACUAGUUGCCAUCAUUAAGUUGGGGACUCUAGUGAGACUGCCUACGCAAGUAGAGAGGAAGGUGGGGAUGACGUCAAAUCAUCACGGCCCUUACGCCUUGGGCCACACACGUAAUACAAUGGCCGGUACAGAGGGCAGCUACACUGCGAAGUGAUGCAAAUCUCGAAAGCCGGUCUCAGUUCGGAUUGGAGUCUGCAACUCGACUCUAUGAAGCUGGAAUCGCUAGUAAUCGCGCAUCAGCCAUGGCGCGGUGAAUACGUUCCCGGGCCUUGUACACACCGCCCGUCAAGCCAUGGAAGUCUGGGGUACCUGAAGUCGGUGACC